UACGAAGGGGGCUAGCGUUGCUCGGAAUCACUGGGCGUAAAGGGUGCGUAGGCGGGUCUUUAAGUCAGGGGUGAAAUCCUGGAGCUCAACUCCAGAACUGCCUUUGAUACUGAGGAUCUUGAGUUCGAGAGAGGUGGAGGUGGAACUGCGAGUGUAGAGGUGAAAUUCGUAGAUAUUCGCAAGAACACCAGUGGCGAAGGCGGCUCACUGGCCCGAUACUGACGCUGAGGCACGAAAGCGUGGGGAGCAAACAGG
rnacentral:rRNA from 1 species